rnacentral:pre_miRNA from 1 species
AGAGGAACAGCUGGGUCAAAUGAUGGUUCCAUUCCCAGAUUUCCAAGGAAUCUCCAUACUGCUUUCCAAAUUGGUUGCACCAAUUUGAAGCCCCACCAGCAGU